AGAAGGCUGGGUUGACUUUCGAGCUACUGAGGUGAAGGGGUUUACGAGUGUCGAUCUGAAGACCAUAGUAGGAAUUCAGCCAACGGAAAAUGCACCAGAAGAGUUUCCUCACUCCUACGUUGUGGGGAAGGUUGCUAAGGAUUGUCUGCUUGUCACAUAUGGUCUCUCAAGUGAUGGACAGCAAAAGUGUCUGCUUUGGGGAUUAUCCGGAAGCCAGGUUAGCACUAACACUGAGUGCUAUAAUGCCCUCAAAUCACUUUGCCCUGAUAACAUGUACGAUAUGACGGAAACGGACGGUCCGUGCCAGCAAUACGAUCGUGACGAAAACAGCCGUAACAAUCAAGCACAGGAGGAUGAAGGAACACGUUAGCACCUUGCCCAACAAAUGGUUCAAAAUAAAACAACCUUAUCAAAUGGGAGGACUUUCAAGCGUAUGCACAAUUCUUUUAGCGACA